rnacentral:piRNA from 1 species
UAGACUAUAUGGGCCUCUGAAAUCCUUCC